CUUGUUUACUUCAUGUUAAUUAAUGAUGCAUAAUUCCUAGAAAUGCAUGAUACUUUAUUAUGCAUAUCCUUAAGAUUUUGUCAUCAUUAAAAAGAAGGAGAUUAUUGACCCAAGGAUUGAUUUUAAUGCUAACAAAAUAUUGAGGACAAAUGGUACUAAUUUUGUAUUUCAAGAAUAGUUGUCGGAUUGCUUAGAGUUUCUCCCUCUCCCCUUCUCUCUUUCCUCUCUUCCCUACUCUCUCACUAUUUUCUCUUUCUACAACUUUUGCUCUCUAGAUUGUUUUUCGCUCUACAUGGAUUUUUUCUCUAGGAUGUUGGAUUCA
rnacentral:lncRNA from 1 species